GAUGAGCGCUGGCGGCGUGCUUAACACAUGCAAGUCGAGCGAAGCGCCUUGAAGUUUUCGGACGGAGAGGUGACUGAGCGGCGGACGGGUGAGUAACGCGUGGGUAACCUGCCUCACACAGGGGGAUAACAGUCAGAAAUGACUGCUAAUACCGCAUAAGCGCACAGUACCGCAUGGUACGGUGUAGAAAAACUCCGGUGGUGUGAGAUGGACCCGCGUCUGAUUAGGUAGUUGGUGGGGUAACGGCCUACCAAGCCGACGAUCAGUAGCCGACCUGAGAGGGUGACCGGCCACAUUGGGACUGAGACACGGGCCCAAACUCCUACGGGAGGCAGCAGUGGGGAAUAUUGCACAAUGGGCAAAGCCUGAUGCAGCGACGCCGCGUGA
rnacentral:rRNA from 1 species